rnacentral:rRNA from 1 species
UACGAAGGGGGCUAGCGUUGCUCGGAAUCACUGGGCGUAAAGGGUGCGUAGGCGGGUUUUUAAGUCAGAGGUGAAAUCCUGGAGCUCAACUCCAGAACUGCCUUUGAUACUGAGAAUCUUGAGUUUGGGAGAGGUGUGUGGAACUCCGAGUGUAGAGGUGAAAUUCGUAGAUAUUCGGAAGAACACCAGUGGCGAAGGCGGCUCACUGGACCGGUACUGACGCUGAGGUGCGAAGCGUGGGAGCAAACAGG